GAUGAACGCUGGCGGCGUGCCUAAUACAUGCAAGUCGAGCGAACGGACGAGAAGCUUGCUUCUCUGAUGUUAGCGGCGGACGGGUGAGUAACACGUGGAUAACCUACCUAUAAGACUGGGAUAACUUCGGGAAACCGGAGCUAAUACCGGAUGAUAUUUUGAACCGCAUGGUUCAAAAGUGAAAGACGGUCUUGCUGUCACUUAUAGAUGGAUCCGCGCUGCAUUAGCUAGUUGGUAAGGUAACGGCUUACCAAGGCAACGAUGCAUAGCCGACCUGAGAGGGGGGUAGGCGCCACCUGGAAUGGGGCACCGGUCACACACCCACAGGGGGGGCCAGGAGGGGAAAUUUCCCAAAGGGGGGAAAGCCGGACGGGGCAAACCGCGGGGGGGAAGAAAGGUUUUUGGUCGUAAAAAUCUUUUUUAUAGGGAAAAAAAAUGUGGUAAAGGAAAUUUCACCCUUUGACGGUACCUUACCAGAAAGGCACGGCUAACUCCGUG
rnacentral:rRNA from 1 species